rnacentral:rRNA from 1 species
CCUACGGGAGGCUGCAGUGAGGAAUAUUGGUCAAUGGACGCAAGUCUGAACCAGCCAAGUAGCGUGCACGAUGACGGCCCUCCGGGUUGUAAACUGCUUUUAGUUGGGAAUAAAAGGUGGCUCGUGAGCCCCGUCUUGUAUGUACCAUCAGCAAAAGGACCGGCUAAUUCCGUGCCAGCAGCCGCGGUAAUACGGAUGGUCCGGGCGUUAUCCGGAUUUAUUGGGUUUAAAGGGAGCGUAGGCCGGCUUUUAAGUCCGCUGUGAAAGUCCGGGGCUCAACCGCGGAAUUGCAGUUGAAACUGGAGGCCGUGAGUGCACACAGGGAGGCCGGAAUUCAUGGUGUAGCGGUGAAAUGCUUAGAGAUCAUGAAGAACUCCGAUCGCGAAGGCAAGUGUCCGGGGUGCAACUGACGCUGAGGCUCGAAAGUGCGGGUAUCAAACAGGAUUAGAUACCCGGGUAGUC